UACGAAGGGGGCUAGCGUUGUUCGGAAUCACUGGGCGUAAAGCGCACGUAGGCGGAUGUGUCAGUCAGGGGUGAAAUCCCGGAGCUCAACUUCGGAACUGCCUCUGAUACAGCACGUCUUGAGUUCGAGAGAGGUGGGUGGAAUUCCUAGUGUAGAGGUGAAAUUCGUAGAUAUUAGGAAGAACACCGGUGGGGAAGGCGGCCCACUGGCUCGAUACUGACGCUGAGGUGCGAAAGCGUGGGGAGCAAACAGG
rnacentral:rRNA from 1 species